CCUACGGGGUGCUGCAGUGGGGAAUAUUGGACAAUGGGCGAAAGCCUGAUCCAGCCAUGCCGCGUGUGUGAAGAAGGCCUUCGGGGUGUAAAGCACUUUCAGUGGGGAAGAAAGCCUUGGGGCUAAUACCCUCGAGGAAGGACAUCACCCACAGAAGAAGCACCGGCUAACUCCGUGCCAGCAGCCGCGGUAAUACGGAGGGUGCGAGCGUUAAUCGGAAUUACUGGGCGUAAAGCGCGCGUAGGCGGUCUGAUAAGCCGGUUGUGAAAGCCCCGGGCUCAACCUGGGAACGGCAUCCGGAACUGUCAGGCUAGAGUGCAGGAGAGGAAGGUAGAAUUCCCGGUGUAGCGGUGAAAUGCGUAGAGAUCGGGAGGAAUACCAGUGGCGAAGGCGGCCUUCUGGACUGACACUGACGCUGAGGUGCGAAAGCGUGGGUAGCAAACAGGAUUAGAUACCCCGGUAGUC
rnacentral:rRNA from 1 species